rnacentral:rRNA from 1 species
AAGGGGCCAUCUCAUUGAAGCGGAGAAACCUGAGAGGCGUGGAACGGGAAGCCCAUAGAAAAGGCGACCGACCUACCUUCACAGCCUUGUGUAUCUACCACGUUGCUUUGGCGGGUCGACCCGGUUCUGUCCCGGGCGGCCGGUGACCCCAGCCCAGUCCCCUGGGCCAGGACGCCUGGCUAAGUGCCCGCCAGUAUACAAAACUCCAGCGAUCAUUUUGUGUAGUCCUGAGAAUUCAUUCAAUGAACUAAAACUUUCAACAACGGAUCUCUUGGUUCUGGCAUCGAUGAAGAACGCAGCGAAAUGCGAUAAGUAAUGUGAAUUGCAGAAUUCAGUGAAUCAUCGAAUCUUUGAACGCACAUUGCGCACCCUGGUAUUCCGGGGGGCAUGCCUGUUCGAGCGUCAUUUCAACCCUCAAGCUCUGCUUGGUAUUGGGCGACGUCCGCUGCCGGACGCGCCUGGAANUACUCGGCGACGGCGUCUCGGCCUCGAGCGUAGUAGUAAAUAUCUCGCUUUGGAGGAGGAGGCGACGGCUUGCCGGACAAUCGACCUUCGGUCACUUAUUUUUCCAGGGUUGACCUCGGAUCAGGUAGGGAUACCCGCUGAACUUAAGCAUAUCAAUAGGGGGGGAAAA